rnacentral:rRNA from 1 species
GACGAACGCUGGCGGCGUGCUUAACACAUGCAAGUCGAGCGGUAAGGCCCUUUCGGGGGUACACGAGCGGCGAACGGGUGAGUAACACGUGGGUGACCUGCCCUUAGCUCUGGGAUAAGCCUGGGAAACUGGGUCUAAUACCGGAUAUGACUCCAUGACGCAUGUUGUGGGGUGGAAAGCCUUGUGCGGCUAGGGAUGGGCCCGCGGCCUAUCAGCUUGUUGGUGGGGUGAUGGCCACCAAGGCGACGACGGGUAGCCGGCCUGAGAGGGCGACCGGCCACACUGGGACUGAGACACGGCCCAGACUCCUACGGGAGGCAGCAGUGGGGAAUCUUGCGCAACGGGCGAAAGCCUGACGCAGCGACGCCGCGUGGGGA